GGUGCGAGCAAUCCGGUGCAUCUGCAGAAACAGGAACAGGUGUGCCAGGACCAAUCUGUCAUCUACCUCUACACCGUUUAUUGGGACUCCAGUCAUCAGUUCGACGCCGGAUCGUGAAUGCUCACAUUCGGACCCCACCUGCUCUGGUGAUCGAAUCAUCUUGCCCAACUGGACUCAUCAAAGCCUCUGAGUUCCAAGCUGACUUCUGGAUCAUCUCCGUCACUCUUCAGUCCUCCGUCCAAAUGUCCAUCUGCUGUCGCUGUCUAGACCAUCAGCUCCUGCCCCAGCACAUUAGCACCCAAGCCGACAGUACGGCCUCAACACGAGCAGUUUCUAGUUUUGUUUUUAGAGUUACGUUUGUCAUUGGUCUUGGAUUGUUUGUGGUACCGGCUAACUGAUUCACCCGGUACUUCUGUUAGUAGAUCUGGUUUAUAGUGUAAUGAUUGCGAACUUCGUUUCCAGUGAGCUUCAUUGUUUCAUAGCCUCGAGUUCCACCUUAGUUUUAGUAUAGCUUGUGGCUCCUUAGUUAUAGUUCAUCCUCUGUAUUUAGUGAUCAUAGUUGCGCCUUUGCUUCAAGUUAUACUUCGUUUCUGUGUGCUUAGGUGCUCAACUAAUCUUCAGCAUUAGCUAUUAUAGUUCUUAACUCUCCUGCCCAGGUUGUGCCUGCUGUGGGUCAGUUCCUUGUGUUGUUGAGAUUUGUAGUUCGUACCGCCCGCCAUUAGGGGCACUCUAGCUCUUGGAGUUUAGUUACUGUAUCUGUUUCCUUUUCCGGAUGCUGGACCUUAGGGAAUUGUAGUCCCAGUCACCUUUUGUCGUUAUAAGAAAUCAUUGUGUUAGCACCCGUUGUCUCCUUCUCUUUUCCUGCGCCUGAGCCUCAAAGAAAACCCUAACAGGUAUAAGCUCAUUUUUGAGUGUUUUUAUUGCAAUAUACUGAAAAACGUCUCAUUUGCAUGCAUAAGUGUCAUGUAUUAUAACAAAAAUAAUGUAUGUAGUUAGGUAGUCAUUUUUCAGAACCAUUGUAUGUUUCCAUAAUGACAUGUAACUGUUUUCACACAACUUUGAGUAGGCUGAUAGCAAACUAUCCUUCUGGCAUAGUCAACAGGAAUUACAGUAUAGCAGAUUGAGAGAGAGAGAGAGAGAGAAAGUGAUGUAAUGAUCUAAUGUACAGAACUCGACUGCCUGGCUUUUAACCAGAACCAAGGAGUGCAAGAACAUCACUCCUGUUUUAGUUUCGUUACACUGUCUCCCAGUAUGUAUUAAAACUUACUUUUACCAGCAAGCCAAUUUAAUUUAGUCUAGCAGCAAUUUAAUUUGAGUUUUAAUUUUCUUUUUACUGUCUUUAAUUUCUUUCAGUGAUGUUUCUACGUGGUCUAGCCCUGUGUUGUGUGUGUGUGUGUUUUUUUUUUAUGUGUCUUUUAACUUCUGAUAGUUUUAUGACUUGUCUGUAUUAUUUUCCUAGCUUGUGAAACACAUUGUAACUUGGAUUCGUGUCCUCUAAAUAAAUAUUAUUAUUACUAUAAUGAGCAAGGAUGAUUAGAAAUAAUGAGUCCCAGUUUUAUGGCAUCAAAAAUUACACAAUUACAAUAAAGAAUUAAUUGAA
ensembl:lncRNA